rnacentral:rRNA from 1 species
GUCCACGCCCUAAACGAUGCGAACUGGAUGUUGGUCUCAACUCGGAGAUCAGUGUCGAAGCUAACGCGUUAAGUUCGCCGCCUGGGGAGUACGGUCGCAAGACUGAAACUCAAAGGAAUUGACGGGGCCCGCACAAGCGGUGGAGUAUGUGGUUUAAUUCGACGCAACGCGCAGAACCUUACCUGGGUUAAAUCCGCCCGAAUCCUGCAGAGAUGUGGGAGUGCUCUUCGGAGAAUGGGCGAGAAGGUGCUGCAUGGCUGUCGU